AUAUAUCUAAAUAAAAUACAAUUUAAUUCUACUGUACAUAUUGGUAUUUCUUGUCCUUGGUAGGAAGACUGGCAAAGUUCCUCAAGGUAAUUUUAAAGUUAUAAGAUUAUAAACCCUAUUAAAUAUACGCUUGUCCUUGGCACUCCUAUGGCUAUCAUACAUUACAGUAGAGUUACUUCUUAAAUAAAUGUAGUUAAGAUCAGAUUUUUAUCAAUAUGCAUGUACUUAAGAUUGACCUGGCAUUCCGACUGCAGAUUUUGCUGAGGUACCUGAAAUAUUCAUAUCUACUUGUUUAUACAAGAUUUAAAUUUGAUUAGAAAGUGCCCCGUGUUAUUUUUUCAAACAUUCUGCAUUAUAGCCCAAGUUCUUUGAGUUGUAUAUAAAUGGCAGUGAAGUGGCCUUGGUUAGUUAAUCUGGUUAGGCUUGUUGAGUCGGGAGGGUCAAGGAGUAUGGCUAGAAACAGUGUUUUGGUUUCCCAAAAUUCAUUUGUUGAAACCUAAUUCCCAAUGUGAGGGUUUUUGCAGGUGGGACCUGUAGGAGGUGAUGAGGUCAUAGGGGUGGGGCCCUCAUGAGCAAAUUCUGUGUUCCUAUGAAAGAGAGCCAGCAGGCUCCAUUGCUCCUUCUGCCAUGGACAGAAAUGGUGAGAAGACAGCCAGGCAUCUUUGAACCAGGAAGAGUGAUCACACCAGACAUCUAGUCCGCCCUUACUGCCUUGAUCUUGGAUUGCCCAUCCGCCAGAACUGAAAAGACUUCCAACAAUUUAAUACAAAUUAAGGCAAACAAUCAGAAGAAAAGUGGGCAAGAAAGAUGAAAAGACUCUGAUGCUGGGAAAGAUUGAGGGCAGGAGGAGAAGGGGACGACAGAGGAUGAGAUGGCUGGAUGGCAUCACCGACUCAAUGGACAUGGGUUUGGGUGGACUCCAGGAGUUGGUGAUGGACAGGGAGGCCUGGCGUGCUGCGGUUCAUUGGGUCGCAAAGAGUCCGACACGACUGACUGAACUGAACUGAAGAUGAAAUAUCUGUUCACAGACAGGGAAAUAUAAAUGGUCAAAAUAAUGUGCUUUAUUUUUGAUCUUCUCUAGUGUCAUCUCUUCCCUGGGCAAGUGAGUUCCUCUCUCUGCUUUUACCCCUCCCUUGCCCCAACAUCUACAAUCAAUUCUUACUCUGUCUCACUAUUACUUCUAAAUUUUUUUUGCCUCACCCCAGGGGAUGUGGGAUAUUAGUUCUCUGACCAGGGAUUGAACCCACACCCCCUGCAAUGGAAGACCAGAGUCUUAAUCACUGGACCUCCAGGGAAGCCCAGUGUUUUGCUAUUACCUUUUUGAUCAUCUCAGGGACAGCUUCCUAAACUUCUCUCACCCAAACUCCAUCCUCUCUCCCAGUGAUGCCCUGUGCAUGUCUUUAUCAUUGUGUUUUUCUUGUAAGUAACAUGAUCUCUUUUGUCUUCCUUCUUAGAUUUCUAAUUCCUUGAGAGCAAGGGUCAUCUGUAAUUCAUAUGUUAUCAUAUGAUAACCUUAAACAUAAAUGAACCAAGAGGAUAGUAUGCUAAGUGAAUUAAGUUAGACAUAGAGAAACAUACUGUGUGAUUUCUAUUUUAUAUUGAAUCUAAAAAAAGCAAAACUUUGGAACCAGAGAGUAGCAUGCUUGUCGUUAGGGGUUGGAGGACGUGGGAAGUGAAGAGAAGUUCAUCAAGGGAUAUUAAACUUUCAUUUAUAUAAUAAGAUGAAUUAAUUCUAGGGAUGUAAUAUACAAUAUGGUGACUAUAAUUAAUAAUACUGUAUUGCGCACUUAAAAUUUGAUAAGAGAGUAGGUCUUAAGUAUUCUCACUACACAUCCACACAAGGUUACUGCCUGAGGUGAUUUGUUAAUUAACUUGAUUGUGAUAGUCACCUUUGAAUAUUUGCAUGUCAUAAAUCAUCACACUGUACAUCUAAAAUGUAUCCAAUUUUUUUGUUAACUAUACCUCAAUAAAGCUUGAAAUUAAAAAAAAUGCAUGAGUCAUGCAGGGCAAAAUAAAACAGGAUUUUUUAAAUACACAUGUUUUGACUUAAUAAAUACAUUGUACAUUGUGCUACUCAAAGUAUCAUAAGGAAUAAGUUUACUCUAAACUUUGGUGGUAAGAAAAUACAGAAGUCACUUUAUUGGACAGUGAAAGCACCUAACUAUAUUUCUUACUUCCCCUCAUUUGCCAAGAAGUUCUGAAUGCAAUGCUGCAUGAAAUAUUAACUGACUUACUCCAAGGAAGGUAUAUUUCUUAGGGACAUUUUAAAGGAAGUGUUUACAAAUAUUUAAUAUGUGUCUUCUGUCUUACACUCAAUUUAUAGUGGAGUGUAAUUUUAAACAAAUAAUUAUAAUCAAACAUUCUACAGUUCCACACCUCCCCACAUUCUGCAACUUUAUUCUUCUGAAAAUAGGUAUGAGAUAGAAUUGAUAGUCUUAUCAGGUUUCUAUAAUUCAUUUCAGCUAGCAAGUGGAUUUUAGUAUCACAAGAGCAAAAUUACAACAUUAAAUGUGAUUUAUUAAUUUUUUGA